GGGCGCGUAGCUCAGAGGUAGAGCACACCCUUCACACGGGUGGGGUCACAGGUUCAAUCCCUGUCGCGCCCACCA
rnacentral:tRNA from 1 species